rnacentral:rRNA from 1 species
UACGAAGGGGGCUAGCGUUGCUCGGAAUCACUGGGCGUAAAGGGUGCGUAGGCGGCGCGGUAAGUCGGGUGUGAAAUCUCGGGGCUUAAUUCCGAAACUGCAUUCGAUACUGCCGUGCUUGAGGACUGGAGAGGAGACUGGAAUUUACGGUGUAGCGGUGAAAUGCGCAGAUAUCGGGAGGAACACCAAUGGCGAAGGCAGCUCGCUGGGACGGUACUGACGCUGAGACGCGAAAGCGUGGGGAGCAAACAGG